rnacentral:rRNA from 1 species
GAUGAACGCUGGCGGCGUGCCUAAUACAUGCAAGUCGAGCGAACAGACGAGGAGCUUGCUCCUCUGACGUUAGCGGCGGACGGGUGAGUAACACGUGGAUAACCUACCUAUAAGACUGGGAUAACUUCGUGAAACAGGAGCUAAUACCGGAUAAUAUAUUGAACCGCAUGGUUCAAUAGUUAAAGACGGUUUUGCUGUCACUUAUAGAUGGAUGCGCGCGGCAUUAGCUAGUUGGUAAGGUAACGGCUUACCAAGGCAACGAUGCGUAGCCGACCGGAAGGGGGGUUCGGCAACCCGGAACUGAGGCCACGGCCCGAAUCCCAACGGAAGGCAGCAGUGGGGAUUCUUCCGCAUUGGGGGAAGGCUGAACGAGGCAACGCGGGUGGGGGGAGGAGGCUCUCCGGUUCGAAAAACCCUGUUAUUAGGAAAAAACAAAUGUGUAUGAAACGAUGCUGGUCUGGAGGGAACCAAAGCAGAAAGCCAGGCCAACUUCCGG